rnacentral:rRNA from 1 species
ACGAGUGGCGGACGGGUGAGUAAUGCUUGGGAAUCUGCCCAGUAGUGGGGGACAACUUCCGGAAACGGGAGCUAAUACCGCAUACGCCCUACGGGGGAAAGUGGAGGAUCUUCGGACUUCACGCUAUUGGAUGAGCCCAAGUCGGAUUAGCUUGUUGGUGGGGUAACGGCCUACCAAGGCGACNAUCCGUANCUGGUCUGAGAGGACGAUCAGCCACACUGGGACUGAGACACGGCCCAGACUCCUACGGGAGGCAGCAGUGGGGAAUAUUGGACAAUGGGGGCAACCCUGAUCCAGCAAUGCCGCGUGUGUGAAGAAGGCCUGCGGGUUGUAAAGCACUUUCAGUAGAGAAGAAAAGCUUCCGGUUAAUACCCGGGAGUCUUGACGUAACCUACAGAAGAAGCACCGGCUAACUCCGUGCCAGCAGCCGCGGUAAUACGGAGGGUGCGAGCGUUAAUCGGAAUUACUGGGCGUAAAGCGCGCGUAGGCGG